rnacentral:misc_RNA from 1 species
GUAGGUGAACCUGCGGAAGGAUCAUUAGCAAAACUACAAUUGUUCUGUUGAAGGGCUUUGCAAUCUCUUUGAGGGGUUGCUCGGCAAUCUCUUUGAGGGGUUGCUCGCAAGCGAGCAAUGUGCCUGUCGUCUGCUCUACCGAGCAGAAGCACAGGCCGUGCUAUCAAAUCUCUGAAUUUAAUUGACAUUGAACAGUUUAUACAAAUCAACUUUUAACAAUGGAUCUCUUGGCUCCU